AAAGAUUAAGCCAUGCAUGUCUAAGUCCAAGCUGUGUUCACACGGCGAGACCGCGGACGGCUCAUUAAAUCAGUCGUGGUCCAAAUGGGCCAGUGCAAAUCCUACUUGGAUAACUGUGGUAAUUCCAGAGCUAAUACAUGCAACUGAUAUCCCGAAGGCGGUGUUGGGGCUUGCUUGCCUUGCGCUGCGCUGCUCUGACGGAUGCUUUUAUUAGACCAAGCCGCUGAGGACUUGAGGGUUCGCGCUCUCUUGUUUGACUCGUGUGAUGGUGACUCUGGAUAACCAAAUUCUGACAAGCGCACGUACUUCUCUUCUGAGCGAGACGGCGCUGCCACUUUCGAGUGUCUGCCUUAUCAGCUAUCAACCGUUCGUUAUGCGCGACCGAUGGCUUUGACGGGUAACGGGGAAUCAGGGUUCGAUUCCGGAGAGGCAGCCUGAGAGACGGCUACCACGUCCAAGGACGGCAGCAGGCACGCAAAUUACCCAAUCCCAGCAAAUGGGGGAGGUAGUGACGAAAUCUAACGAUGCGGGCGCCCUUUCUGGGGCCCCGCAAUCGGAAUGGGCACUUUCUAAACAACCUGUUGAGAACCUACUGAAGGGCAAGUCUG
rnacentral:rRNA from 1 species